CAAAAGCAAACAUAAGUAUACAGAAAUCAGCUGAUCAAGUAUAACAACAGUUGUUUUUGCGUAAACUUAUAUUUGUCUGAAAUCCAACAAUGAAUUCUUUAACCAGUAUUAGAAUUUAUUUCAACAAUGAAUUUUUUAAACUAGUAUAAAAAUUCAUGUUUUUACGAUGCGUUGACAAGUUGUAUCAAUUCACCUUAGCUAAGGAAUUCAAAUAUACUUAGGCUGAAAAGACAGAAAACUCGGAUAGGGGAGAGAAAUGUAUGCAAUAUGCAACGGCAUUAAUUGGAGUUAGAAAAAUUACAUUAUAUAACAAUAUACUCACGCCUCUUAAAAAUGUAUUGUAAUCAAUUAUAUUGCAAUUAAUUAAAAGUGACCUUUGAGUGUAAAAAUAAAUAUAAUUAGUUCAAUGCACAAUCAACGUAACUAUGGAUAU